CUGGUGUGAUCAGAGCCGGAGUCUGUCAGACCAUAGACUCCGGUUUAUACCACACCACAGAGCAGCCGGAGGGUGGAUCCAGACCACUACAGCAGAGCGGUCUGGACCAGCACAGACUCCAAACAAUU